rnacentral:ncRNA from 1 species
UUCGGAUAAGAGGCUGCAACUUGCCUCUUUGAAGUUGGAAUCGCUAGUAAUCGCAGAUCAGAACGCUGCGGUGAAUACGUUCCCGGAUCUUGUACUCACAAUGAAAGCGCCCGGCAGGUUAAUAUUCUAGAUGGUUAAAAUCCAUC